rnacentral:rRNA from 1 species
GACGAACGCUGGCGGCGUGCUUAACACAUGCAAGUCGAACGGAAAGGCCUCUUUCGGGGGGUACUCGAGUGGCGAACGGGUGAGUAACACGUGAGUAACCUGCCCUUGACUUUGGGAUAACUUCCGGAAACUGGGGCUAAUACCGGAUAGGAGCUCCUGCUGCAUGGUGGGGGUUGGAAAGUUUCGGCGGUUGGGGAUGGACUCGCGGCUUAUCAGCUUGUUGGUGGGGUAGUGGCUUACCAAGGCUUUGACGGGUAGCCGGCCUGAGAGGGUGACCGGCCACAUUGGGACUGAGAUACGGCCCAGACUCCUACGGGAGGCAGCAGGGGGGAAUAUUGCACAAUGGGUGGAAGCCUGAUGCAGCAACGCCGUGUGCGGGAUGACGGCCUUCGGGUUGCAAACCGCUUUCGCUCAUGACGAAGCUUUGUGUGACGGUAGUGGGUAAAGAAGCACCGGCUAACUACGUG